GGUCUCACUAUGUAGUCCAGGCUGUCCUUGAACUCACUAUGUAGAACAGGCUGGCCUGGAACUCAUGGUAAUCCUCCUGCCUCAGCCUCCCAAGUGCUGGGAUUACAGGUGUGUCCACCCCUG
rnacentral:miRNA from 1 species